rnacentral:rRNA from 1 species
UACGGAGGGUGCAAGCGUUAUCCGGAUUCACUGGGUUUAAAGGGUGCGUAGGUGGGUCUGUAAGUCCGUGGUGAAAUCUCCAAGCUUAACUUGGAAACUGCCAUGGAUACUAUAGGUCUUGAAUACCGUGGAGGUGAGCGGAAUAUGUCAUGUAGCGGUGAAAUGCCUAGAUAUGACAUAGAACACCAAUUGCGAAGGCAGCUCACUACACGAAUAUUGACACUGAGGCACGAAAGCGUGGGGAUCAAACAGG